GGGGGUGUCAGUAUUGACGCGAGACAUGUCCCUGGUGUGCAGGCGGAGCUAGAGUCAACUCCUAAAACUGCUCUAAAAUUUAAGUGCAGACUCAAUUGUCGCACGGGCGAAGUCAGUAGUUUCUCCGUAUUUCGGAGCUAACGAUUUCGUUUUCGCAUACGUUCGAGCGUAAGCUAGAACCUGUGCGAACGUCUCCCAUUUGCCGUCCGGCACAAAUGGAAAGACGCUUUAUCUGCGGGACUGUAGUUCCGAUAGUGCUCCUACCGGAAUCAAACUUAGAGCUUUGAACUUCGGAUGUUUUGUCUGAUUUAUAGUCCGCGGUUCGAGAUCCGCUUCAGCGGAAAAGUCAGUCUAAGCCUGUAGAUGCUCCAGUGACGUCCUCAUGGACGGGAGUUCAACCUCCCCACCUCCACCA
rnacentral:tmRNA from 1 species